rnacentral:rRNA from 1 species
AACGAACGCUGGCGGCAGGCCUAACACAUGCAAGUCGAGCGAGGGGUAACCCUAGCGGCGGACGGGUGAGUAACGCGUGGGAACGUACCCUUUGGUUCGGAAUAGCCCUGGGAAACUGGGAGUAAUACCGGAUACGGUCGAGAGACGAAAGAUUUAUCGCCGAAGGAUCGGCCCGCGUUGGAUUAGGUAGUUGGUGGGGUAAUGGCCUACCAAGCCGACGAUCCAUAGCUGGUUUGAGAGGAUGAUCAGCCACACUGGGACUGAGACGCGGCCCAGACUCCUACGGGAGGCAGCAGUGGGGAAUCUUAGACAAUGGGGAAACCCGUAGAUCUAGCCAUGCCGCGUGAGCGAUGAAGGCUAGGUGUAAG